rnacentral:rRNA from 1 species
UACGUAGGUGACAAGCGUUGUCCGGAUUUACUGGGCGUAAAGAGCGCGCAGGCGGUCGUUCAAGUCGAGUGUGAAAGCCCCCGGCUCAACUGGGGAGGGUCACUCGAUACUGAUCGACUUGAAGGCAGGAGAGGGAAGUGGAAUUCCCGGUGUAGUGGUGAAAUGCGUAGAUAUCGGGAGGAACACCAGUGGCGAAGGCGGUUGCCUGGAGCUUUGCUGACGCUGAGGCGCGAAAGCGUGGGGAGCGAUCCGG